rnacentral:rRNA from 1 species
CACNUGCNAGUCGAGGGGCAGCAUUUCAGUUUGCUUGCAAACUGGAGAUGGCGACCGGCGCACGGGUGAGUAACACGUAUCCAACCUGCCGAUAACUCGGGGAUAGCCUUUCGAAAGAAAGAUUAAUACCCGAUGGCAUAAUAAAACCGCAUGGUUUUUUUAUUAAAGAAUUUCGGUUAUCGAUGGGGAUGCGUUCCAUUAGGCAGUUGGUGAGGUAACGGCUCACCAAACCUUCGAUGGAUAGGGGUUCUGAGAGGAAGGUCCCCCACAUUGGAACUGAGACACGGUCCAAACUCCUACGGGAGGCAGCAGUGAGGAAUAUUGGUCAAUGGGCGCAGGCCUGAACCAGCCAAGUAGCGUGAAGGAUGACUGCCCUAUGGGUUGUAAACUUCUUUUAUAUGGGAAUAAAGUUUUCCACGUGUGGAAUUUUGUAUGUACCAUAUGAAUAAGGAUCGGCUAACUCCGUGCCAGCAGCCGCGGUAAUACGGAGGAUCCGAGCGUUAUCCGGAUUUAUUGGGUUUAAAGGGAGCGUAGGUGGACAGUUAAGUCAGUUGUGAAAGUUUGCGGCUCAACCGUAAAAUUGCAGUUGAUACUGGCUGUCUUGAGUACAGUAGAGGUGGGCGGAAUUCGUGGUGUAGCGGUGAAAUGCUUAGAUAUCACGAAGAACUCCGAUUGCGAAGGCAGCUCACUGGACUGCAACUGACACUGAUGCUCGAAAGUGUGGGUAUCAAACAGGAUUAGAUACCCUGGUAGUCCACACAGUAAACGAUGAAUACUCGCUGUUUGCGAUAUACAGUAAGCGGCCAAGCGAAAGCAUUAAGUAUUCCACCUGGGGAGUACGCCGGCAACGGUGAAACUCAAAGGAAUUGACGGGGGCCCGCACAAGCGGAGGAACAUGUGGUUUAAUUCGAUGAUACGCGAGGAACCUUACCCGGGCUUAAAUUGCAUUUGAAUAUAUUGGAAACAGUAUAGCCGUAAGGCAAAUGUGAAGGUGCUGCAUGGUUGUCGUCAGCUCGUGCCGUGAGGUGUCGGCUUAAGUGCCAUAACGAGCGCAACCCUUAUCUUUAGUUACUAACAGGUCAUGCUGAGGACUCUAGAGAGACUGCCGUCGUAAGAUGUGAGGAAGGUGGGGAUGACGUCAAAUCAGCACGGCCCUUACGUCCGGGGCUACACACGUGUUACAAUGGGGGGUACAGAAGGCAGCUACCUGGUGACAGGAUGCUAAUCCCAAAAGCCUCUCUCAGUUCGGAUCGAAGUCUGCAACCCGACUUCGUGAAGCUGGAUUCGCUAGUAAUCGCGCAUCAGCCAUGGCGCGGUGAAUACGUUCCCGGGCCUUGUACACACCGCCCGUCAAGCCAUGAAAGCCGGGGGUACCUGAAGUACGUAACCGCAAGGAGC